GUCUUCACUAAUGGCUCCUAACCCACUGAAUGCCAUGGAUAUUUGAUGCAUGCUGUAAAAAUUUAUUGACAAUCAAGUGAGAUAAAAGCCUGAAAGACAUGAUGCUGAGUCUUCUGAGAAGGAAGAAGUUACCUAGUACCCUGAAUGUUUUC
rnacentral:lncRNA from 1 species